rnacentral:rRNA from 1 species
GACGAACGCUGGCGGCGUGCUUAACACAUGCAAGUCGAACGGUGACCCAGGGCUUGCCCUGGUGAUCAGUGGCGAACGGUGAGUAACACGUGGGCAACCUGCCCCUGACUUCGGGAUAACUCCUCGAAAGAGGAGCUAAUACCGGAUACGACCACUUCGGACAUCCGAUGGUGGUGGAAAGUUUUUCGGUCAGGGAUGGGCCCGCGGCCUAUCAGCUAGUUGGUGGGGUAAUGGCCUACCAAGGCGACGACGGGUAGCCGGCCUGAGAGGGCGACCGGCCACACUGGGACUGAGACACGGCCCAGACUCCUACGGGAGGCAG